AUUGAACGCUGGCGGCAGGCCUAACACAUGCAAGUCGAGCGAGCGGCGGACGGGUGAGUAAUGUCUGGGGACUGCCCGAUAGAGGGGGAUAACCACUGGAAACGGUAGCUAAUACCGCAUACUCUCGUAUAACCCAAAUGGAAUUAGCUAGUAGGUGAGGUAAGGUCUCACAUAGGUGACGAUCCCUAGCUGGUCUGAGAGUAUGAUCAGCCAACUUGGAACUGAGACACGGCCCAGACGCCUACGGAGGCAGCAGUGGGGAAUAUUGCACAAUGGGCGAAAGCCUGAUGCAGCCAAGCCGCGUGUAUGAAGAAGGCCCUCGGUUUGUAAAGUACUUUCAGUCGGGAGGCGUUACCGACAGAGGAAGCCCCGGCUAACUCCGUGCCAGCAGCCGCGGUAAUUC
rnacentral:rRNA from 1 species